rnacentral:rRNA from 1 species
AACAGGUUAAUAUUCCUGUACUUGGUGUUACUGCGAAGGGGGGACGGAGAAGGCUAUGUUGGCCGGGCGACGGUUGUCCCGGUUUAAGCGUGUAGGCUGGUUUUCCAGGCAAAUCCGGAAAAUCAAGGCUGAGGCGUGAUGACGAGGCACUACGGUGCUGAAGCAACAAAUGCCCUGCUUCCAGGAAAAGCCUCUAAGCAUCAGGUAACAUCAAAUCGUACCCCAAACCGACACAGGUGGUCAGGUAGAGAAUACCAAGGCGCUUGAGAGAACUCGGGUGAAGGAACUAGGCAAAAUGGUGCCGUAACUUCGGGAGAAGG